CGGGACACGUGGUAUCCUGUCUGAAUAUGGGGGGACCAUCCUCCAAGGCUAAAUACUCCUGACUGACCGAUAGUGAACCAGUACCGUGAGGGAAAGGCGAAAAGAACCCCGGCGAGGGGAGUGAAAAAGAACCUGAAACCGUGUACGUACAAGCAGUGGGAGCACGCUUAGGCGUGUGACUGCGUACCUUUUGUAUAAUGGGUCAGCGACUUAUAUUCUGUAGCAAGGUUAACCGAAUAGGGGAGCCGAAGGGAAACCGAGUCUUAACUGGGCGUUAAGUUGCAGGGUAUAGACCCGAAACCCGGUGAUCUAGCCAUGGGCAGGUUGAAGGUUGGGUAACACUAACUGGAGGACCGAACCGACUAAUGUUGAAAAAUUAGCGGAUGACUUGUGGCUGGGGGUGAAAGGCCAAUCAAACCGGGAGAUAGCUGGUUCUCCCCGAAAGCUAUUUAGGUAGCGCCUCGUGAAUUCAUCUCCGGGGGUAGAGCACUGUUUCGGCAAGGGGGUCAUCCCGACUUACCAACCCGAUGCAAACUGCGAAUACCGGAGAAUGUUAUCACGGGAGACACACGGCGGGUGCUAACGUCCGUCGUGAAGAGGGAAACAACCCAGACCGCCAGCUAAGGUCCCAAAGUCAUGGUUAAGUGGGAAACGAUGUGGGAAGGCCCAGACAGCCAGGAUGUUGGCUUAGAAGCAGCCAUCAUUUAAAGAAAGCGUAAUAGCUCACUGGUCGAGUCGGCCUGCGCGGAAGAUGUAACGGGGCUAAACCAUGCACCGAAGCUGCGGCAGCGACGCUGAUGCGUUGUUGGGUAGGGGAGCGUUCUGUAAGCCUGUGAAGGUGUGCUGUGAGGCAUGCUGGAGGUAUCAGAAGUGCGAAUGCUGACAUAAGUAACGAUAAAGCGGGUGAAAAGCCCGCUCGCCGGAAGACCAAGGGUUCCUGUCCAACGUUAAUCGGGGCAGGGUGAGUCGACCCCUAAGGCGAGGCCGAAAGGCGUAGUCGAUGGGAAACAGGUUAAUAUUCCUGUACUUGGUGUUACUGCGAAGGGGGGACGGAGAAGGCUAUGUUGGCCGGGCGACGGUUGUCCCGGUUUAAGCGUGUAGGCUGGUUUUCCAGGCAAAUCCGGAAAAUCAAGGCUGAGGCGUGAUGACGAGGCACUACGGUGCUGAAGCAACAAAUGCCCUGCUUCCAGGAAAAGCCUCUAAG
rnacentral:rRNA from 1 species